UACGAAGGGGGCUAGCGUUGCUCGGAAUCACUGGGCGUAAAGCGCGCGCAGGCGGUCCUUUAAGUCUGAUGUGAAAGCCCACGGCUCAACCGUGGAGGGUCAUUGGAAACUGGGGGGACUUGAGUGCAGGAGAGAAGAGUGGAAUUCCACGGUGUAGCGGUGAAAUGCGCAGAUAAUCAGGAAGAACACCCGUGGCGAAAGCGGACUCGUCUGGAACGGUACUGACGCUGAGACGCGAAAGCCGUGGGGAGCGAACAGG
rnacentral:rRNA from 1 species